CUUUGGCCAUACCACCCUGAUAGAUCUGGUCUUUUCUGAUCUUGGAAGCUAAACAGGGCUGGGCCUGGUCAGUACUUGGAAUAGAAAGUUAAUAGGUGAAUGCAAAUUGCCUUAAAGC
rnacentral:rRNA from 1 species